GAUGAACGCUGGCGGCGUGCCUAAUACAUGCAAGUCGAGCGAACAGACGAGGAGCUUGCUCCUCUGACGUUAGCGGCGGACGGGUGAGUAACACGUGGAUAACCUGCCUAUAAGACUGGGAUAACUUCGGGAAACCGGAGCUAAUACCGGAUAAUAUAUUGAACCGCAUGGUUCAAUAGUGAAAGACGGUUUUGCUGUCACUUAUGGAUGGAUCCGCGCCGCAUUAGCUAGUUGGUAAGGUAACGGCUUACCAAGGCAACGAUGCGUAGCCGACCUGAGAGGGUGAUCGGCCACACUGGAACUGAGACACGGUCCAGACUCCUACGGGAGGCAGCAGUAGGGAAUCUUCCGCAAUGGGCGAAAGCCUGACGGAGCAACGCCGCGUGAGUGAUGAAGGUCUUCGGAUCGUAAAACUCUGUUAUUAGGGAAGAACAAAUGUGUAAGUAACUAUGCACGUCUUGACGGUACCUAAUCAGAAAGCCACGGCUAACUACGUG
rnacentral:rRNA from 1 species